rnacentral:rRNA from 1 species
GACGAACGCUGGCGGCGUGCCUAAUACAUGCAAGUCGAACGAGUGGCGGACGGGUGAGUAACACGUGGGAACCUAGCCAGCAGAGGGGGAUAAAGAUUGGAAACGGGGGCAAAUACAGCAUACUAUCGGAUGAACUGAGAUGGGAUUAGGUAGUAGGUGGGGUAAAGGCUCACAUAGGUGACGAUCUCUAGCUGGUCUUAGAGGAUGAUCCGCCACACUGGGACUGAGACACGGCCCAGACUCCUACGGGAGGCAGCAGUGGGGAAUAUUGCACAAUGGGCGCAAGCCUGAUCCAGCCAUGCCGCGUGUAUGAAGAAGGCCUUAGGGUUGUAAAGUUCUUUCGGCGGAGAAGCGGUACCCGCAGAAUAAGCACCGGCUAACUCCGUGCCAGCAGCCGCGGUAAUUC